rnacentral:rRNA from 1 species
GACGAACGCUGGCGGCGUGCCUAACACAUGCAAGUCGAGCGAGUGAAUCUCCUUCGGGAGUGAAGCUAGCGGCGGACGGGUGAGUAACACGUGGGCAACCUGCCUCAUAGAGGGGAAUAGCCUUUCGAAAGGAAGAUUAAUACCGCAUAAGAUUGUAGCUUCGCAUGAAGUAGCAAUUAAAGGAGCAAUCCGCUAUGAGAUGGGCCCGCGGCGCAUUAGCUAGUUGGUGAGGUAACGGCUCACCAAGGCGACGAUGCGUAGCCGACCUGAGAGGGUGAUCGGCCACAUUGGAACUGAGACACGGCCCAGACUCCUACGGGAGGCAGCAGUGGGGAAUAUUGCACAAUGGGGGAAACCCUGAUGCAGCAACGCCGCGUG